CCUACGGGAGGCAGCAGUAGGGAAUCUUUCACAAUGGGCGAAAGCCUGAUGGAGCAACGCCGCGUGCAGGAUGAAGGCCUUCGGGUUGUAAACUGCUUUUAUAAGCGAGAAAUAUGAUGGUAACUUAUGAAUAAGGAUCGGCUAACUACGUGCCAGCAGCCGCGGUCAUACGUAGGAUCCGAGCAUUAUCCGGAGUGACUGGGUGUAAAGAGUUGCGUAGGUGGCAUAAUAAGUAGCUAGUGAAAACUGGUGGCUCAACCAUUCAGACUAUUAGCGAAACUGUUAAGCUCGAGACCGUUAGGGGUAACUGGAAUUUCUAGUGUAGGAGUGAAAUCCGUAGAUAUUAGAAGGAACACCAAUAGCGUAGGCAGGUUGCUGGGACGGUUCUGACACUAAGGCACGAAAGCGUAGGGAGCAAACGGGAUUAGAUACCCUUGUAGUC
rnacentral:rRNA from 1 species